GGUGCUUGUCGGGGAGGCUGGGGCCGCACAGGAGCCCAUGGAGUGGGUGGGAGGCUCAGGCAUGGCGGGCUGCAGGUCCCAAGCCCUGCCCCGCGGGAAUGCAGCUAAGGCUUGGUGAGAAAUCGAGCGCAGCGCCGGUGGGCUGGCACUGCUGGGGGACCCAGUACACCCUCCGCAGCCACUGGCCCGGGUGCUAAGUCCCUCAUUGCCCGGGGCCAACAGGGCUGGCCGGCUGCUCUGAGUGCUGGGCCCGCCAAGCCCACGCCCGCCCUCCCGGAACUCCAGCUGGCCCGCCCACCCGGAACUCCAGCUGGCCCGCCCACCCGGAACUGCAGCUGGCCCGCCCACCCGGAACUGCAGCUGGCCCGCAAGCGCCGCAUGCAGCCCGGGUUCCCGCUCGCGCUUCUCCCUCCACACCUCCCUGCAAGCUGAGGGAGCCGGCUCUGGCCUUGGCCAGCCUAGAAAGGGGCUCCCACAGUGCAGUGGUGGGCUGAAGGGCUCCUCAAAUGCCGCCAAAGUGGGAGCCCAGGCAGAGGAGGUGCCAAGAGCAAGGGAGGGCUUUGAGGACUGCCAGCACGCUGUCACCUGUCAUUAUCAGCAACUUCACUAAAAUACCUCUGUGUUUGAAGAGGAAGCCAGAGAAAUUAGAAACAAGAGAAACAUUUGAUGCAUUAUUGCUGACUUGAAGAUGGAGAGAGGUUCCCCUGAGCAUACAGGAGUACUCCAUGAAGACUGCAAUGGCUUCCCUCUCACAAACUGCAUGCACGUCCAGCAGCUCCUGGAGUGUGUCUGUGGGGAAUCUCACUUGCUGGGCCAUCUGCUGGCUGUAGUGGUUGGCUGCCCUCUGCACGGCCGCUGAGUUCUCACACUGGGCCAGAAUUGCCAUUGCAUUCUCCAGACAAGGAGUCGCUCCACUGUUGAUGGCAUCCAGAGACCAUCAAGCUUCAGAAGAUCAUGUGACAAAUGUUCCAGCCAGUUCCAGUUGAAGACACCACCCCUGGCCAUCAAGAAGCUACCCUGCCUCCACUAGACAGAGCAGGGUGAGAGUUCCGUGAUCCCCAAUAGGUAGGGACUUUGCUUCAAGCCAGCAUGAAGCAGUUACAGAAGAAAGACCAUUAGUCACCCCACCUCCCAUAAAGAUUUAUGGGGAUGACAUCUCUCAGGGAGGAAAUGAGGCAGGAAAAUAGGAUCUGGAGGCAUAGAACAUAAGGCCUAUUCACACUUCAGCUAUGCCGGGAAAUAUUAUCUCCAUUUACAUAGGGCAUACACAAAGUAACCAAUGGAAACCUCUAGAGGGUAUUUAAAUCCCCCAAAAUUCUGUAACAGGACCCUUGAGCCCCUAUGCUUGGGCCCACUCCCACACUGUGGAGUGUACUUUCAUUUUCAAUAAAUCUCUGCUUUUGUU